CCCCAGACUCCUACGGGAGGCAGCAGUGGGGGAUAUUGCACAAUGGGGGGAACCCUGAUGCAGCGACGCCGCGUGAGCGAUGAAGUAUUUCGGUAUGUAAAGCUCUAUCAGCAGGGAAGAAAAUGACGGUACCUGACUAAGAAGCCCCGGCUAACUACGUGCCAGCAGCCGCGGUAAUACGUAGGGGGCAAGCGUUAUCCGGAUUUACUGGGUGUAAAGGGGGCGCAGACGGCGAUGCAAGCCAGGAGUGAAAGCCCGGGGCCCAACCCCGGGACUGCUCUUGGAACUGCGUGGCUGGAGUGCAGGAGGGGCAGGCGGAAUUCCUGGUGUAGCGGUGAAAUGCGUAGAUAUCAGGAGGAACACCGGUGGCGAAGGCGGCCUGCUGGACUGCAACUGACGUUGAGGCCCGAAAGCGUGGGGAGCAAACAGGAUUAGAUACCCCCGUAU
rnacentral:rRNA from 1 species